GUUAUAUGGUCAAGUGAAGAAGCGCAUACGGUGGAUGCCUUGGCAGUCAGAGGCGAUGAAAGACGUGGUAGCCUGCGAAAAGCUUCGGGGAGUCGGCAAACAGACUUUGAUCCGGAGAUGUCUGAAUGGGGGAACCCAACCAUCAUAAGAUGGUUAUCUUGUACUGAAUACAUAGGUGCAAGAAGCGAACCAGGGGAACUGAAACAUCUAAGUACCCUGAGGAAAAGAAAUCAACCGAGAUUCCCUUAGUAGUGGCGAGCGA
rnacentral:rRNA from 1 species